rnacentral:rRNA from 1 species
UACGUAGGAGGCGAGCGUUGUCCGGAAUUACUGGGUGUAAAGCGCGUGUAGGUGGCAGGCCAAGUCUGUGGUGAAAUCGCCCGGCUCAACUGGGCGGGGUCCAUGGAAACUGGUCAGCUGGAGGACGGUAGAGGCGAGUGGAAUUCCCGGUGUAGUGGUGAAAUGCGUAGAGAUCGGGAGGAACACCAGUGGCGAAGGCGGCUCGCUGGGCCGGUCCUGACACUGAGACGCGAAGGCGUUGGGAGCGAACGGG